rnacentral:rRNA from 1 species
AGAUCAGGUAGGAAUACGCGCUGAACUUAAGCAUAUCAAUAAGCGCAGGAAAAGAAACUAACUAGGAUGCCUUCAGUAACGGCGAGCGAAGCAGGCAUAGCUCAAAUUUGUAAUCUGGCGUCUUUGACGUCCGAGUUGUAUUUUCUAGAAGCGAGUUCGGCGACAGCUCCUACCCAAGUCCGUUGGAACGCGGCGUCAUGGAGGGUGAGAAUCCCGUGAAUGGUAGGAUGUCUGCUGCUAUGUGAACCGCCUUCGAAGAGUCGAGUUGUUUGGGAAUGCAGCUCUAAAUGGGAGGUAAAUUUCUUCUAAAGCUAAAUAUUGGCCAGAGACCGAUAGCGAACAAGUAGAGUGAUCGAAAGAUGAAAAGAACUUUGAAAAGAGAGUUAAACAGUACGUGAAAUUGUUGAAAGGGAAGCGCUUGAGAUCAGACUUCCUGUCUGGACUGUCCUUGCUUUUGCUUGGGUCAACAGUCCAGGCGUGGAGGCCAGCAUCAGUUUUGACGGCCGGAUAAAGGCCUUGGGAAGGUAGCUCCUCUCGGGGAGUGUUAUAGCCCAGGGUGUAAUACGGCCAGUUGGGACUGAGGACC